UACAGAGGUGGCAAGCGUUGUUCGGAAUUACUGGGCGUAAAGGGCGCGUAGGCGGCCAUCUAAGUCAGACGUGAAAUCCCCCGGCUUAACCUGGGAACUGCGUCUGAUACUGGACGGCUUGAGUAUGGGAGAGGGAUGUAGAAUUCCAGGUGUAGCGGUGAAAUGCGUAGAUAUCUGGAGGAAUACCGGUGGCGAAGGCGGCAUCCUGGGCCAUUACUGACGCUGAGGCGCGAAAGCUAGGGGAGCAAACGGG
rnacentral:rRNA from 1 species